UACGAAGGGGCUAGCCGUUGCUCGGAAUUACUGGGCGUAAAGGGCGCGUAGGCGGCCUGUUAAGUCGGACGUGAAAUCCCGUCGGCUCAACCGGGAACUGCGUCCGAUACUGGCGGGCUUGAAUUCGGGAGAGGGAUGUGGAAUUCCAGGUGUAGGCGGUGAAAUGACGUAGAUAUCUGGAGGAACACCGGUGGCGAAGGCGGCAUCCUGGACCGACGAUUGACUGCUGAGG
rnacentral:rRNA from 1 species